rnacentral:rRNA from 1 species
AGUGAACGCUGGCGGCGGGCCUAAUACAUGCAAGUCGAACGGAGUGGCGCACGGGUGAGUAAUGUAUAGCUAAUCUGCCCUACACUAGAGGACAACAGUUGGAAACGACUGCUAAUACUCUAUAGUGUAGGAUGAGGGUAUAUUGUAGCAGGUAGUUGGUGAGGUAAUGGCGCACGAAGGUUAUGACGCAUAACUGGUCUGAGUGGAUGAUCAGUCAAACUGUAAUUGAGGCAGGGUCCAGACUCCUACGGGAGGCGGCAGUAUGGAAUAUUGCUCAAUGGGGGAAAGCCUGAAGCAGCAACGCCGCGUGGAGGACUACACGUUUCGAGGAGUAAACUCCUUUUGUUAGGGAAGCGGUACCUAACGAAUAAGCACCGGCUAACUCCGUGCCAGCAGCCGCGGUAAUAC